UCUGACGCAGCCAUGCCGCGUGCAGGAAGAAGGCGCUAAGCGUUGUAAACUGCUUUUGAUCGGAAAGAAACCCCGGGACGUGUCCCGGGUUGACGGUACCGGUCGAAUAAGCACCGGCUAACUUCGUGCCAGCAGCCGCGGUAAUACGAAGGGUGCAAGCGUUAUCCGGAUUCAUUGGGUUUAAAGGGUGCGUAGGCGGAACGAUAAGUCGGCGGUGAAAGCCCGUAGCUUAACUACGGAAUUGCCGUUGAUACUGUCGUUCUUGAGUGCGCUUGACGUGGGCGGAAUGUGCCGUGUAGCGGUGAAAUGCUUAGAUAUGGCACAGAACACCGAUAGUGAAGACAGCUCACGAAGGCGAAACUGACGCUGAGGCACGAAAGCGUGGGGAUCAAACAGGAUUAGAUACCCUGGUAGUCCACGCCGUAAACGAUGAUCACUCGUGGUNGGCGAUAUACGGUCAGUCACCUAGCGAAAGCGUUAAGUGAUCCACCUGGGGAGUACGUUCG
rnacentral:rRNA from 1 species